rnacentral:rRNA from 1 species
AUUGAACGCUGGCGGCAUGCCUUACACAUGCAAGUCGAACGGCAGCAUAGGAGCUUGCUCCUGAUGGCGAGUGGCGAACGGGUGAGUAAUAUAUCGGAACGUGCCCUAGAGUGGGGGAUAACUAGUCGAAAGAUUAGCUAAUACCGCAUACGAUCUACGGAUGAAAGUGGGGGAUCGCAAGACCUCAUGCUCCUGGAGCGGCCGAUAUCUGAUUAGCUAGUUGGUGGGGUAAAAGCCUACCAAGGCGACGAUCAGUAGCUGGUCUGAGAGGACGACCAGCCACACUGGGACUGAGACACGGCCCAGACUCCUACGGGAGGCAGCAGUGGGGAAUUUUGGACAAUGGGGGCAACCCUGAUCCAGCAAUGCCGCGUGAGUGAAGAAGGCCUUCGGGUUGUAAAGCUCUUUUGUCAGGGAAGAAACGGUUCUGGAUAAUACCCAGAGCUAAUGACGGUACCUGAAGAAUAAGCACCGGCUAACUACGUGCCAGCCGCCGCAGUAACAC